rnacentral:rRNA from 1 species
CCUACGGGUGGCUGCAGUGGGGAAUAUUGCGCAAUGGGCGAAAGCCUGACGCAGCGACGCCGCGUGAGGGAUGAAGGUCUUCGGAUCGUAAACCUCUGUCAGCAGGGAAGAACGGUCACUGUGCUAAUCAGCAGUGAAUUGACGGUACCUGCAAAGGAAGCACCGGCUAACUCCGUGCCAGCAGCCGCGGUAAUACGGAGGGUGCGAGCGUUAAUCGGAUUUACUGGGCGUAAAGCGAUCGUAGGCGGUAUGUCAAGUCAAGGGUGAAAUCCCCGCGCUCAACGUGGGAACUGCCUUUGAAACUGGCAAACUGGAGUGUGUGAGAGGAUGGUGGAAUUCGUGGUGUAGGGGUGAAAUGCGUAGAUAUCUGGAGGAACAUCAGUGGCGAAGGCGACUAUCUGGCACAUAACUGACGCUGAGGAGCGAAAGCGUGGGUAGCAAACAGGAUUAGAUACCCGAGUAGUC